rnacentral:rRNA from 1 species
GUCCUUUUGAUUAUAAUUUAAGGUCUAACCUGCCCAAUGAAAUUGUUGAAUGGCCGCAGUAUUUUAACUGUGCAAAGGUAGCAUAAUAAUUAGUUUUUUAAUUAAAAGCUGGAAUGAAUGGUUGGACGAGAAAAAAACUGUCUCAAUUUAAUUUAUAAUAGAAUUUUAUUUUUAAGUUAAAAAGCUUAAAUGAUUUUAAAAGACGAGAAGACCCUAUAGAGUUUUAUAUUAAUUUAAAUUUUAAAUUUUAAAGUAUUUUUUAAUUUAAAAUUAAAGUUAAUAUUUUAUUGGGGUGAUAAGAAAAUUUAAUAAACUUUUCUUUAUAUUAACAUAAAUAUAUGAAUAUAUGAUCCAUUAUUAAUGAUUAAAAGAUUAAAUUACCUUAGGGAUAACAGCGUAAUUUUUUUUAAGAGUUCAUAUCGAAAAAAAAGUUUGCGACCUCGAUGUUGAUUUAAA